GUCAAAGAGGCCGGAAACCGGCCUGAAUUUUGAUGUUCAAACCGUUGAAACGGGUAAAAUUGCCUUUUGACGGCUUCGUCAGGCGUGGUUUGGGUCCUGCGCAAUGAGAAACCGCGAACCUCGUCAGGUCCGGAAGGAAGCAGCGAUAAGCGGGUAUUCACAUGUGCCGCAGACAAGCCUUCUCCCGCCUGCGAAGCUCUCAAAAGGCAAUUUUCAUAUCUUUGGC
rnacentral:SRP_RNA from 1 species